GUGUUUAAACCGUGCGUCACGCCGUCCUCUCUGCGCCUGCGCGUGUUUAAACCGUGCAUCACGCCGUCCUCUCUGCGUCUGCGCGUGUUUAAACUUUCUAUCUUCAUCAUCAUCAUGCUGUUAGGGAAGAGAUGCUGUCGCAAAACUGCAGUUUUCUAGGGACCUUUGAAGGAAGCUGGAGGUUGCAGCCCAUACUGAAAAUAAUUAACUCCAGCCCCGCUUUUAGGAGCGUGGAUUAAACAACAGUGGGAGUGCCAGGAGGCAGGGAUCCCUGGGGGCCGCACUGGAAGCUGUCAGUCUAUCGCACGAGUCACCAAUGGGAAGAAGAGGGCUGGUGGUUUUCCUGCCUCAGCAAGACGGCAAGCAGGCGCUUUCAGCAUUUCCUUAGCUGUACUGGGCACAGCUGGGGACACGGAGGUGAGCCUGCCAAGCGACAGGAUAAAUGGAGUCUCAGCAAAGAAACUUCAAAGUUAAAACAGCCAAAGGGGAAAAAAUAAAAAACAAAACAAAAACACCACCACCCCACCCAAGGGCUGCUGGCUGGAACAAAUCAUCUGAGCCUCCGGCCCUGCGGGAAGCCUCCAUCUGCAGAUCCACAAGAGGCUUCCAAGCCGUGUCAAUUCAUUUCUAUAUUGCCAUGAUGUACACACUUCUCAGCUAAGCAGAAAGCACUGAUGUCUGGGGCAGAUUCCAGCUGAGGAGACCGGCCUGUGUCCAGGACAGCAAGUGUACUCUACUCCCAUCCACGGCCUCCCCGGGGCCCAGACACCGGCCAGGCUUUGUCCAGCUCAGAGUACUGAGCCCCGAAGUUGGCCCCUUUCCAGGCCCGUGCUGAUGAACAGCCCUGGACCUUGAAGGCCAGGCUUUCCUUCUCUGCUUCAGCUGCAAACAGGGGGCCUAAGGAAAUGGAGAGAGACCCCUGAUGGGGACAGCCCUCAGGGCAGGGGAGAAAAGCCGUGUGAGUUCUACCCUCCACCCAGCCCCUGAUUGGCGCUCAGGCCCCUUGCCCACCCUGGGCAGCCCUCCCCUCCCUCGGGACUGUGCAUCCUCUCCCAACACUCACCCAGGCCCCUGCACAGUGGGGUCCGGGGCCAGCACCCUCCCAUGGACAUCCUCCCUGCCUUCGUACUUUACGGUGGGUUCUCACAGGGGCCUGAGUUUUCAUCCUCCCUACAGGGCCGUAAGCACAGCCUUUCAUGAGACUUUGAUGCACACAUGCAUGCAUGUGCAGUCAUACGCACAGGGGCGUGCUCACAGCCUGGAGGCCCAGGUGAGCUGCAUAGUGCAAGAGUGUCACGUUUUAUACAGAUUGACGCACGUCACAUUUACACUCAUCUAAUACCCGUCUACCUAUGCACACACACACAAAUGUCGAUUUAAUGUGUAUGUAAACAGGUAUGAAUACGUAAGAUAACACUUACCUCUCUGCAUUCCACAUUCCCAUCCACACCGGCAGUUGAGGCUCCAGCCCCCUCUGCCCAGUGGGUGCAGGACCCCACAGAAGGGACACUCUGCCCAGUAGAUGCGGGACCCCAUGGUCGGGACGCCCCGCCUGGUAGAUGCGGGACCCCGUGAUAGGGAUGCUCCGCCUGGUGGGUGCGGGACCUCACGGUAGGGACGCUCCGCCUGGUGGGUGCGGGACCUCACGGUAGGGACGCUCUGCCUGGUAGAUGCGGGACCCCGUGAUAGGGACGCUCCGCCUGGUGGGUGCGGGACCCCGUGAUAGGGACGCUCUGCCUGGUGGGUGCGGGACCUCACGGUCGGGACACUCUGUCCAGCAGAUGCAGGACCCCAUGGUCGGGAUGCUCUGCCUGGUGGGUGCGGGACCCCGUGAUAGGGAUGCUCCGCCUGGUGGGUGCGGGACCCCAUGGUCGGGACACACCGUAAUUUCCUCUUUCAUGAACGAGCAUUCAUUUUGUUCCCAUGUUUUUUGUUGUGGAAAACGUGCUGCAAACCCCACUUCCCUGUGUAUCUUCAGUUUCAUCACCGUUACCAUAUUGGUCUCAAGAAGCUGCUGGCGGAACACACAGGCCGGGGGAGAAUGUCUGUCAGGUCUCUGGUCUGUAGCGGUGUGUAAGGCGGCUCUUCCCUCGUUGUAUUUCUGUCCGGACGCUGUGCCUGUGCUCGUAGUGGGGUUCUGGAGUCUCCUACCUGGUUGAAUCGCUAUUCCUCCCCUAGAUCCGUCAAUGCUUGCUUCACACAGUCCUGUACCACGUGAUGCCAUUUUGGGCAGACAUGGCAUCAGCAACACCGGCCUCAUAAGAUUAUGGCAUCGCAUGUCCAGCACGCCUCUGUGCUGCUGACGGAAGAAGAGAAGUCAAGCGUGAAGGCAUUUGAACCAGUUUACUCAGAAGUCUUUCUGAGGACUCUAGAUUGAGGCCUCCAGCCUGGGAGCGGCCCCUUCGAGAGGUCCUGUCAGCCCCGCACAGGUGCCAGCCCACUGUGGACAUGCAGGUGGCCGGGUUCAGGACACACACAGUCGUGAUGACCUUGCUCGGAAGUUACCCGAGAGCAGAAUCCCAUCGAGGUUCAUGCACAGGAGGACAUCAGGUUGCAGAUGACACAGGCACGAUCACUAAGUCGCAGGUGGCGUUACCUUAUGUGUAGGAAAGACCAGGAAGCCAGUGACUGGGGUGGCAGAUGUGGGGGUGACGUGUGCUGUCCUGUGCUGCCUUCGAAGCAUCUCUGGAGCCUGCGUACAGGGGCUUUGUGAAAUGACGCUGGCAAGCAGACAGGAGCCAACAGGGCUCCUCAGGUUUGCUGCUUUGUCUCCGGCUGUCUGCAGGAUUCAGCCAUCACGAGCUGUGCAGGUGUGCGGCUUGGGAGCAGCGGGCACCGCCAGCCAGCCUGGGUGUGUGGCAGGCUGAACCGUCUAGGUUCACGUCCGUGCACUCCAUGAUGCUGGAACAAGGACAUUCACCUAACAAUGCGUUUCUCAGGACGGACCACCAUCAGUAAGAGACACGUGACUCCAGGUGGGUGCUCUGACGUUGGGUGUAUAUAGAUGGGGCACACCCCACAUUCAUACUCACCUCUGCACAUGCACAAACAAUGGCUACUUUACAUGUAUGUAAAUGAUGUCAGAAACGCAUCCCUGUCUGCGCCCUUCCUUCCAUCGACACACGGCCAUGUCUUCUUCUUCCCUUCUUCUCCGCCAGCCACAGUGGUGUUCCAUCACCCUGAAAACGUCUACCCCACAGUGAUAACAUGACACCGCUGCCUUAGUUGACAUUUUGCUGCCUCUUGCGAUUCUGAGCACCUUACAUAACUUCUAGACACCUGGACUGGGUCUCCUGUGAGCCGAGAUUUUGCUGUCCUGCGCCCAUCUUUCCCUAACUUGUUACUUUGUUCAUGCCACUUGGCGAAAGUUCUCUGCAUCUGGUAAACGUGAGCACUUCCGCCCUCUCCCCGUGGCCGGUGCUCUCACUGUCCAAAGCUGUCACUUGUCUCCCGUUUAGUUUACCAUCUCCAGGGAAAGAGAAGGAAGCUCCUGACACUAGAACGAGGCCUUGUACCUGUUUGUCUGUGGAAUUCCGAGUGACCUAGACAAGUCACUCUGUCCAAUGAGAAGACAGGUAUUUCCACAAGGUAUAGGCACUUAGGACAGAGAGGGGAAGGCCACGUACAGGGACACAGGGCUCCUGAGACCCACAGCCUUGCUAAUAACCGUGAAUACUCAUGCGCAUGGUGCCACUGGAGCAUUUCCCAUGGGAGCUCACUAACCCCCGACUCCCACCCCUAUGAGGAAGCCCCACAGGGUGUCAUUGUGACCCCAGUUUACGAGCUCAGGCACAGGGAAAUUCCAGACCACCCAGGGGCAGCCGGGCUUAGGUGGAGCCCAGGGCCCCUGGUAACCAGUCUCUCUCACCCUUCCUCUCUCACAUCUUUCCUGAUUAGAUGGCAUAUCCCAGAUGUGUUCAGGCUCCUGCCUUUGGGUAGCAUGGCACUGCCCCCAUCAGGCCGUGUUUGCUCACCCUCCGAUUCCGAGGUGCUACUGUCCAGAAAUUUGUGUCUCCCCCAAAAUUCAUGUUGAAUCCUCAGCCCCCACCCCCAGGUGAUGGUGUCAGGAGGUGGGACUUUUGGAGGGCGAUUAGGUUGUGGGGGUGGAGCCCUCACAAGUGUCAUCAGGGUCCCUGUAGGAGAUCUGAGACCCCAUGCCUCUUCCAGAGCAAGGCGCCAUCUAUGAGUCACACGGGCUCAGCACCCUCAGGGUGGCUUUCCUCUCCAGAGGAGCCGAGGGUUUGGUCAUUUCAAAGUCCCUCUGUUGUUGCUUAUUUACACAUAACAAACACCUGCUGAGCACCUUGACAAAAGGACCAGCAUCAGAGGUCGCUGACGCUAGGGCACUCACACCCCCUCAAAAACCACGCAGGAACCAUUCAAACCCAUUCAAUACAUAUUUGAGAGUAGUAUUUGGGGACCAGUUGGAGGCAACAUUAUUCACACAAAACCUGUGCCGUGUGGCCAAGACUAUGGGACCCAGCCGUGCUGGGAGCCCGGGUGCGGCUCCAGGGCUGGCAGUGGGGACAGCACGCGGUGGCGGAAGGUGGGACAGACACCUUCCUCAAGCCUUUCCCUCCCAACUCAGUCCCCUCCACCCCCGGAAGGCGUGUUACUGGAAUGUAGUAUGGAAACUGCUGGAACCACGGUGGAGAAAGAAACUGCUGUGGAGCAAGAUUUCCGGAGCCCAAGAGGCCAGUGGGCAGGAGAAACAGGAAGUGGUGGAGUCCAGGGACCUGUGAGCCUGAGGCCAGCUGUCCUCCUGUGAGCCGUUCGACAAAUUCCUCUCUCGGAUGGAUUUUAACGCACGGCGCUUCCUCCUCCUCUCAUGGAAGGGUCUUCAUGAAGACCCCAGAAGGCUCCCUCGCCCUCCGCUGAAUCUGCCGCGUUCCGGCACUGAGCCUGCGGUCCCCCUGCAGCUUUCUAAAUGCGGCAGGGAUCGGUAUAGAGGUCUCUGAUUAAGGCCAUCAGGUAUAGAAACUGAGAAAAGACGUGUGUGUCAGUGUAGGUGAAAACGUAUCACUGACAAUGGCUGACAUUUUGCCACGGGAGUGGGCAUGGCUGGGCCAGUCGGCUGCUCUUCCCACCACCUGGGCAAUCACCCUUCCUCACAGCCUCACGAUGACAGCUGAGUCACGGGGAGAUGAGGAAGCAAAACAGGUGGCAAUACUCAUGGCGUCAUGGCACUGAGGAAGCUGCGAGGACUCUGUGAAGGCAGAGGGAGGCUUCCUGGAGCCCACACAGGUCUAAAUGUGUGCAGAAGACACUGACAUGCACACACACGUGCAGACUGCUAUUCACAAAGCAGCUUGGACCAGGCGAGCCCACUGAGGGGCUUUGGGGCUGGAGGCCUUGGUCUAGAAGGGUGUGCCAAUCUCCACUCCGCCUGAGCUCCUGUGCGGCAGCUGUCUUCUUCACCUGGGAGUGUUCCUUCCCGCUGAAGACCAGAGGCCGAUGGCCCCGUUCACCGAUAAGGAAACAGAGGCCCAAAGAAACAGUUUUGGUUUUGUUUAAAGACAGGGUCUCUUUGGCCCAGGCUGGCAUGCAGUGGUGCAAUUAUAGCUAGGCAAUCUUUAACUCCUGGGCUGAAACGAGCCUCCUGCCUCAGCCUCCCACAGAGCUAGACUAUAGGCAUGUGCCACCAUGCUCAGCUAACUUUUUUUCAUUUUUUCAUUUAUUUUGUAUAGACGGGGGUCUUGUUCUGUUGCCCAGGCUGGUCUCAAACUGCUGGCCUCAAGUGAUCCUCCCGCCUCACCCUCUCAAACAGGUGGGACUACAGGAGUGAGCCACUGUGCCCAGCUCCCCAAAGGAACUGAUUCAGCCGGACCCUACAGAAUGCAACAGCUCACCGGCAGGGGUGUUUGCUACUGGCCAGUCUGAGCUGUACCCACAGCCCUGAGCACUGUAUUGCAAGCCCUGCGGGACUGCAAUAAACCCCAACUGAGAGGACUGCAGGGAACCAGCUGAUCACCACAGAAUUCACCCAGAUACCUAACUGUGCCCCAGAGUCCUUGAUGCCUGCUUUGAGGAAUCCACUUAGGAACCUAGAAAGGACUCUCAUGAAUGAACGGCAAGAACACAGUGAGGAGGACCCCGCCCUCUCCAAGUGCAGACGGCUGCUGGAAACCCCGCUACUCGCCUGCAGAUAAGCCACGAGCACCUCGGAAACAAAGCAGCAGCCUCAGCGUGCAGCCCAGCAUAGAGCCUGAGACAGAUGGUCUUCCAUCACCACGGCGCGCCUCUCUCCUGCCUCCCACGGGCCCUGGGCUCAGACUGCCCUCACUGCAGCGCGGGACCAUGGAGGACUGCUGGCUUGUCCUUGUCCCAGGCAGGCCCCAGCUGCUGAGCCCCAGCAAAGGACAGGAGCUCCAUCGGGGUGACCGGCUGAAAAUCCACUCACCACUCAUAAGAGAAUGAGCGGAGCUGACAUUCUGUUAUGCUUAAAACCUCACCUGGCCUCUAGUAAAAACGUCUCCUCUGUAAACAUGCCAAAGAGGUGACACGCACCUUUCACCGGGUUCUCAGCGGUGGGGGCAGCAGGUCCCUCAUCUACUGAGGAGCUCUGACUCUGAAAAUGGAAACAGGUGAAGUCCUGGGCCUGGGCAUCCCCUGGCCUGAGAAACUCUUCCCUUGGAGAUGGGUAUGACAUAGGGACUUCGCUGUUUCAUAGCCCUUAUCAAUUACUGAGCUGGGCCCACAGGAAACAAACCCCCUUGCCACGUGGGCCCCACAUCCUCCAAUGAAAUGGACCACCGUGCAUUUCUCAUAGAAGGCGCCUCCUGCAAAGUCACCACCUGUCGUCCUAGCUCUUCUGCCUUGGGUUUGUGGGGAGCUGCCCUGACGUGGAGGCCGGAGGACAGCACGAGGCCCGCUUCACUGACAGACACACACAGUGCGAACCUGCCCAGGGAGCAGAGGAGCGGCCCCGGGGCAAGGUCCCCAGGUGCUGCCAGCAGGCCAGCUGUGCGCGGCCUCCUGCUCCGGCACAUACAGCAGCUUAACACACGCUGCUUGCUUCCAGACAAGCGUGGUUCUCAGCAUGCUGACACAGGCACACACAAACACACACAGAUUUUAGGGACUGCAACAUUCACCCCAAACUCCAGGAAUGAGAUCACUCUGCAUGUGAUGUUGCUUUCUUUUAAUUGAAGUGAGGGCAAAACCUGGUCACGUCAGAGACGAACAGCCUCGUCCAGGGGGCUGAGUACAUUACUGUCGUUCUUGGUUAACCAGGUCCUCAUUUCAAGGGACUUCCACAUUCUUUGAAACCUGCGCAGGCUCACGCCGAGGCUCUGCAUCAAGGGCCUGGCCUGCAGCAGACGGCGUCUCACUGGAUGUCGUCAUCAUCAAACAGAUCUUCAAAAUC